GACGAACGCUGGCGGCGUGCUUAACACAUGCAAGUCGAACGGAAAGGCCCUGCUUUUGUUGUGUGCUCGAGUGGCGAACGGGUGAGUAACACGUGAGUAACCUGCCCUUGACUUUGGGAUAACUUCAGGAAACUGGGGCUAAUACCGGAUAGGAGCUCCUGCUGCAUGGUGGGGGUUGGAAAGUUUCGGCGGUUGGGGAUGGACUCGCGGCUUAUCAGCUUGUUGGUGGGGUAGUGGCUUACCAAGGCUUUGACGGGUAGCCGGCCUGAGAGGGUGACCGGCGACAUUGGGACUGAGAUACGGACCAGACUCCUACGGGAGGCAGCAGUGGGGAAUAUUGCACAAUGGGCGGAAGCCUGAUGCAGCAACGCCGCGUGCGGGAUGACGGCCUUCGGGUUGUAAACCGCUUUCGCCUGUGACGAAGCGUGAGUGACGGUAAUGGGUAAAGAAGCACCGGCUAACUACGUG
rnacentral:rRNA from 1 species